rnacentral:rRNA from 1 species
AGCAGCCGCGGUAAUUCCAGCUCCAAUAGCGUAUAUUAAAGUUGUUGCAGUUAAAAAGCUCGUAGUUGAAUUUCGGGAUCAAUUUAUUGGUCGUGCCAACGGUACGCACUGGUACAAUUGGUUUCUCCCUUCUGACGAAGCAUGAUGUCAUUAACUUGAUGUCGUGGGGAAUCAGGACUGUUACUUUGAAAAAUUAGAGUGUUUAAAGCAGGCUUUGGCUUGAAUACAUUAGCAUGGAAUAAUGAAAUAGGACGUUUGAUCUUAUUUCGUUGGUUUCUAAGAUCGACGUAAUGAUUAAUAGGGAUAGUUGGGGCAUUAGUAUUCAAUUGUCAGAGGUGAAAUUCUUGGAUUUUAUUGAAGACUAACUACUGCGAAAGCAUUUGCCAAGGAUGUUUUCAUUAAUCAAGAACGAAAGUUAGGGGAUCGAAGACGAUCAGAUAC